AGGGUUCGAUUCUGGCUCAGGAUAAACGCUGGCGGCAUGCCUAAUACAUGCAAGUCGAACGGAGUUACCUUCGGGUAACUUAGUGGCGAACGGGUGAGUAACACGUAGGUAAUCCAUCCUCAGGACGAGGAUAGCUUCUGGAAACGGAAGGUAAAACUGGAUAGUUAAUUAAAGGGCAUCCUUUAGUUAUUAAAAGAGCAAUCUACCCUGGGGAAGAGCCUGCGGCGCAUUAGCUAGUUGGUGAGGUAAUGGCCCACCAAGGCGAUGAUGCGUAGCCGGACUGAGAGGUCGACCGGCCACAUUGGGACUGAGACACGGCCCAGACUCCUACGGGAGGCAGCAGUAGGGAAUUUUCGGCAAUGGGCGGAAGCCUGAACCCGAGCAAUGCCGCGUGAAUGAUGAAGUAUUUCGGUAUGUAAAGUUCUUUUAACAGGGACGAAAAAACAAAUUGACGGUACCUGUUGAAUAAGCUCCGGCUAACUACGUGCCAGCCGCGGC
rnacentral:rRNA from 1 species